UCAUGAGUGCGAACAAAUGCUUUAUGACUGGAAAUUCAACGAAAAUCACCAAAGCUUUAGCAAUUAUCCAACAAAACAUCAAUUUGAAACUAGAUUAGAACAAAGAUCAGAAAAUUCUCACAAUAAUCUGGAUUUAAGCACUCCAAAAACAAGUGAAAGCAGAACCAUUAAAACAGUGCAUCAUGUUUUAUUAUCGAGCCAUCAGCAGAACAUUAAACCUCAAAAACAAACAAGAGAAAAACCAACAUCAUGUUUCGAUUCACAACACAUGAAAGUAUUGACUCAAAUAAUAGAGAAAAAGAUGAAGAGGAACCUGAACUGUUUUCCAAUAUAUUCAAAUUUCACAGUUGCUAAUUGACAAGCUAUGAACCAACCCCAAAUGCUAGUCAAACUUGAUUCGAAAUCACGAACCGCAACUCCAAACCUCGACAGAAACUCGAAUAGAACCUUAGUACAUCAAUUGAACUUCAUUUUCAGAAUAAAAACUCAAAAAAUAGUAGCUCUAAUUUCAAGCUCACUCGCAAAGAUAGGUAGGUGAGGGAAAUGCCUGAAGGUUCAAGGAAUCGACUGGUCUUUAGGUGUUCUCAUGGUGAUAAAUAAAGUAGAAGUAGUAGUGCAUGGGGUCCGUUCCUUUGGUGUUAUGCGGCUGUCCGCAUUUCUCAUGCCAUAGGGGUCUCCAUUGCCAAAGAUGCGGAUCUUCUUGUGAAGAAGAAGAGAUAAGGAUGGGUGGGUUGCCAAUUUUGUGGAAGCUGCGCUUUUCAGCUCUUAGAUCUAAGGUCUAUGUAUUUUUAGGCUAAUUUUGGUUAUAUAGAGAGAGUUUUAGGUUAAGGGGUAUGAGUUUGGUAUUAUUGGAUCUUAAAAUUGGGCCAAAGACUAAAAAGAAAGGAUUACAAGAUUAAAAUGGGACAGACUAACCCAAGACUAACUCUUCCUACAACAUAUAAAAUAGUCUUAAUUAAUUGAACUAAACUAUAUUUAGACUAUUUUUGUGUUUUCAAGAUUAUAUGAAAAUAAAGAUAAGGUACUAUUUUUUGUAUUUUAAUUUAUGAAAGAGAUGUAAACUAAAAUAUUUUUGUAAUUUUUAUUUUUGUGACGAAAUAAAGUAAAAGAGUAAAAAUUAGUUAAAAUAAAGAUAUUAGGCCUAAACUAUAUAAUUACAUGCUAAAAUAUGAAAAAUCUUGGGGAUGGUCAAAAAUCACAUGUCUACAGCUACCCCUCUUUGAUUGGAAAGGCGAAGUAUCUUGAGACAAAGAACAAUUAGCCAGUUUUUGAGACCCGACCCUUAUUUGGGAGAGACUAAAGCUGAGAGAAGGGGAAUGCGACUGAGCCCUGGUAUUUGAGUUGCCUACAUAUUCUUGGCUAUAAAGGAAUCAGGUCACGUGUAAGUUUAGAAAUGAGCGAGAUGAUGGAGUAUGCUGAGGUGGAGAGCCAGUCGAGGUACCGUCCCGCAGAGGUUCUGGUCCGCGGUCCAGUUAUUACAUCAAAAUUAAAAGAAUGAAAAAGACUAGCUAAAACUGUUAACUACCAGUUACAACAUUCCUAUCUAUAAGUCUUCUGAAGCUUGAUCUUGAAUCUUGAGUGGUUAUUCAUUCAGACUUUAGAUUUACACCUUGACGCUUGUUAGCUGCAGGUGCUAGCUCGUUCUUCUUCAUCUUUUCGAAUGAAGAUCGGACAUGUAGUGCUUGCGACCUCAAACAUGCCUUGAGAAGUUCACAUCUUUCAUCUACUUUUCAUUUUAAUUAACUUUUGGCUUUUUCUCUUUUUUUUUCUCUCUUUAUUGUGACUAACUUCUAUUGAUUACCUCGACUGUUGACUUGCAUUCUUGCCACGAGCUCAUUUUGUUGCUAACUUGAAUUGUAUUCUGAAGUGAAUUCCUUUAUUCUCCAAGUGGUGCCUGAUUGACAACAUUUGAACUAUAUUCCCUUGUUCUCCAGGGGGCGCCUGAUUUCAAAAAACUUGAGCUAUAUUCCCUUGCUCACCAGGUAGGUGCCUGAUUACCAAAAACUUAAACUGUAUUCCCUUGUUCUCCAGGUGGCCACUUAACUGCCAAAAACUGAAUUGUAUUCCCUUGUUCUCCAGGUGGGCGCCUGAUUACCAAAACUUGAAUUGUAUUCCCUNNNNNNNNNNNNNNNNNNNNNNNNNNNNNNNNNNNNNNNNNNNNNNNNNNNNNNNNNNNNNNNNNNNNNNNNNNNNNNNNNNNNNNNNNNNNNNNNNNGGGUGGGCGCCUGAUUACCAAAACUUGAAUUGUAUUCCCUUGUUCUCCAGGUGGGUACAUGAUUACCAAAACUAGAACUGUAUUCCCUUGUUAUCCAGGUAGGCGUCUGAUUACCAAAACUUGAAUUGUACUCCCUUGUUCUCCGGUGGGCGCCUGAUUACCAAAAAACUUGAAUUGUAUUCCCUUGUUCUCCAGGUGGGCGCUUGAUUACCAAAGAACUUGAAUUGUGUUCCCUUGUUCUCGAGGUGGGUACCUAAUUACCAAAACUUGAUAUUUCUCUCCUUUGAAUUGACGAUAUAGCAAUUUUGCUUGGAUUUAUCAGUUGUAGCAGGAGACAAUAUACCUUUAUAUUCUCGAUCAUUCUUUGAUUCAAAGCAUCGUUCCAUCUCAAUUGAAAAAGCAAAUAACGUUUCAAGAACAAAUCUAGUUCUGCUUCCGUGUUGCUUUUGUAUUGUAUUUCCUUUUUACCCUUCUUUGUGUCUGAUUCCGCGUAAUCUUUUUUAAGAGCAUUUUGAUGCUUUGAGUGAACAGGGCCCAGAUUUCCUUUUUUUCUAUAUCCGAUCCACGCUCUUUUUCUCCUUGACUUGUUGUUUUCUAGGUAGGUUUCUGAUUACCAAAACUUGCAUUGUAUUCCCUUGUUCUCCAGGUGGGUGCCUGAUUACAAAAACAUAAAUUGUAUUCCCUUAUAUUUCAGCUGGAUGCUUGAGUAUCAAAACUUGAAUUGUGUUCCCUUGUUCUCCAGGUGGGUGUCUGAUUACUAAAACUUGAAUUAUAUUCCCUUGUUCUCCAGGCGGGUGCCUGAUUACCAAAACUUGAAUUAUAUUCCCUUGUUCUCAGGUGGGCGCCUCAUUGCCAAAAACGUGAACUGUAUUCCCUUGUUCUCUAGGUGGAUGCCUGAUUGCCAAAAACUUGAACUGUAAUAUCUUGUUCUACAGGUGGGUUCCUGAUUGCCAAAAACUUAAAUUGUAUUCCCUUAUUCUCCAGGUGGGUGCCUGAUUGCCAAAAUCAUGAACUGUAUUCCCUUGUUCUUCAGGUGGGAGCCUGAUUGCUAAAAACUUGAAUUGUGUUCCCUCGUUCUCCAGCUGGGCGCCUAAUUACCAAAAACUUGAAUUGUGUUCCCUUGUUCUCCUAGUGUGGCCGCCUAAUUGCGAAAUAUCGAAUUGUAUUUUCUUGUUCUCCAGGUGGGUGCCUGAUUUCCAAAAACUUGAACUGUAUUUCCUUGUUCUUUAGGUGGGCGCUUGACUGCAAAAACUUGAAUUGUAUUUUCUUGUUCUCCAAGUGGGCGCCUCAUUGCCAAAAACUUGAAAUGUAUUCCCUUGUUCUUGAGGUGGGCGCUUGAUUGCAAAAACUUGAAUUGUAUUCCCUUAUUCUCCAGGUGGGCGCUUGAUUGCCAAAAACUUGAACUGUGCUCCCUUGUUCUCCAGUUGGGAGCCUGAUUGCCAAAACUUGAGUUGUAUGCCCUUGGUAUCCAGGUGGUUGAUUGAUUACCAAUAACCUUAACUAUAUUUCCUUGUUCUCUAGGUGGGCGCCUGAUUGCCAAAAGCUUGAACUGUAUUCCCUUGUUCUUCAGGUGGACGCUUGAUUGCCAAAACACAUGAAUUGUGUUCCCUUGUUCUCCAGGUGGGCGUCUGAUUGUCAAAAACUUGAAUUAUAUUCCCUCAUUCUCCAGGUGGGUACCUGAUUACCGAACUUGAUUUAUAUUCUCUUGUUUUCCAUGUGGGUGCCUGAUUACCAAACUUGCAUUAUAUUCCCUUGUUAUCUAAGUGGGCGCCCGAUUGCUAGAACUUGAAACUUUAUUCGCUCUUUAUUCAGGUGGGUGCCUGAUUUCUAAAACUUGAAACUGUAUUCCCUCGUUAUCCAGGUGGGCGCCUGACAUUUCAACAAAACAAAAGAAAUUUUUCUGCCCCAGUUUGAGAUCUGGGCAUAUUUGUGAGUGUUAAGCGAUCAUGUUACCUACAGAGCUCUAAGAAUUUGAAAGCUGAAUCUCAUUAUCCAGGAGGGCCCUGAAAACUUCAAAUUAAAUCUCAUCUUAAGAGUGAUAACUUUAAAGCUAAUUAUAUUUUCUAAAGGUAUAAUUUACGCUAAAACUUAAUACUAGAUCCAUUAUCCAGGAGUGUCCUGAAAACUUAAAACUGAAUCCCAUUUAUCCAGGAGGGUCCUGAAAUAUUUUAAAAUGAAAUACCAUUAUCCACGAGGGUCAUGAAAAUUUUAAUUUAAAUCACAUUAUCCAGGAGGGUCCUGGGAACUUUUUAAAAAGAAAUUAAAUCACAUUAUCUAGGAGGAUCCUCAGAAUUUAAAAACCAAAUUCCAUUAUCUAGGAGGGUCCUGAAAUUUUAAAUUAAAUUCCAUUAUCCAGGAGGGUCUUGAAAAUUUUAAAUUAAAUCUUGUUAUCCAGCGGGUACUGAGAACUUUUUUUCUAAAAUUAAAUCCUAUUAUCUAGGAGGGUCCUGAAAUUUUAAAUUAAAUUUCAUUAUCCAGGAGGAUCCUAAAAUUUUAAAUUAAAUUUCAUUAUCCAGGAGGAUCCUGAAAACUUUUUAAAAUUAAAUCUCAUUUUCCAUGAGGGUCCUGAAAACAUGAAGCCUAAAUCCUAAUAUCAAGGACGGUCCUGAAAUUUUAAAUUAAAUCUCAUUAUCCAGGAGGGUCCUGAGAACUUAAAGCCUAAAUCCCAUUAUCCAGGAGGGUCCUAAAAUAAAUUAAAUUCCAAUAUCUAGGAGGAUCCUGAAAACUUUUAAAAAUUUAAUCCCAUUAUCCAGGAGGGUCAUUAGAACUUAAAGCCUAAAUCUCAUUAUUCAGGAGGGUCCUAAAAAUUUUAAAAACUAAAUCCCAGUAUCCGAGGGAGGGGGGNNNNNNNNNNNNNNNNNNNNNNNNNNNNNNNNNNNNNNNNNNNNNNNNNNNNNNNNNNNNNNNNNNNNNNNNNNNNNNNNNNNNNNNNNNNNNNNNNNNNNNNNNNNNNNNNNNNNNNNNNNNNNNNNNNNNNNNNNNNNNNNNNNNNNNNNNNNNNNNNNNNNNNNNNNNNNNNNNNNNNNNNNNNNNNNNNNNNNNNNNNNNNNNNNNNNNNNNNNNNNNNNNNNNNNNNNNNNNNNNNNNNNNNNNNNNGGGGGGGGGGGGGGGGUCCUGAAAACUCUUAGCUAACGACAAUUUUAACACUAAGCUAUAUCUUCUAAAGGUACAAUUUUCACCACUUCUUGUAUUUAAGCAGACCAUAAAGCUACGUCCCAUUAUACAAGAGGGUCCUGAUAACUCUUAACUAACGACAAUUUUAACACUAAGUUAUAUCUUCUAAAGGUACAACUUUCACCACAUCUUGUUAUCUGAGAAAGUAUUAAAGUUACAUCCCAUUAUACAGGAGGGACCUGACAACUCUUGACUAACGAUAAUUUUAACACUAAGCUAUACCUUCUAAAGGUAAAUAUUUCACCAUUUUGUUAUCUAAGAAAAUAUUAAGGCUACGUCUCAUUAUCCAGGAGAGACCUGACAACUCUUAACUAACGACAAUUUUAAUACUAAGCUAUAUCUUAUAAAGGUACAACUUUCACCAUGUCUUGUUAUCUAAGAAAACCAUAAAGCUAUGUCCCAUUAUCUAGGAGUGUCCUGACAAUUCAAAGUCAAAUUUCAUCCUAAGAGUGACAAUUCCUUCCGGCUGAAUUAUAACUACCUUACAACAGAAUUUACGCUAAACAUUGUUAUCUAAUGAAAAUCUUAAAGCUAGUUCCCAUUAUCCAAGAGGGUUCUGAAAGUCCCUAAUUAGAUUCUUUCUCAAACAUUCACUUUAAGCCGACUUAUAUUAUUUUGGGGUACAUUUAUACUAGAUUUGACUACCCAUUUUUUUUAAAAAAAACUAGGUCCCAUUUUCGAGGAGGGUCCUAAAAACUUCUAAGAAAUCCUAUCUUAAGAAUGAAAACCUUGAAACCAACUUAUAUGCCUUGGGGGAGGGGGGUACAUUUACCCUAGCUUAUGUUACUCAUGAUUAUUUUGAAUUUUAAACUAGGUCCCAUUUUCAAGGAGUAUUCUUAAAAUUUAUGGUCAUACCUGUCUGGUGCUUGCUUUUCCCUUAUGGAGGGUUUCUCCAAAACAAACAAAAUUUGCUGCCCUUGUUUCAAUCAAAGAGAGAUCUUGUCAGUUUAAAAUGUGGUAGUUGGUUUGUGGCCUUGACUCUGAGGGCGAUUGCUCCUUAACAUCCCAUGAAAAAUGAUUUCCACUCGAUGACCUGGCUUGUUUAUUGACUAACCACUUUCUUUAUUAUCCGUAUCACUGAAAAUACCUUUUCUCCGUUCAGACCCAAUAUCCUAUAUUUGUUGCAUUGCUCAUGAACUAGAAUCUACCCAGCCUUUGUGUCUCAUAUGAUCUCAAAGUAUGUCCAUUGCCCCCACUUCAUGUGUAUGCUGUUCUUUCUUGACAUAAACCACUGGCCUUGGCCUUAAGGUCUGUUGCUCCUUGACUUUCCAUGAUAACUGAUUUCUAUUCGAAGACGUUGCUUGUUCCUUGACUAACCACUUCAUUUGUCAGCCUUAACACUGAAAAUACCUCUUCUCCGUUCAAACCUAAUACCUUAUAUCUGUUGUAUUGCUCCUGAACUGACAUUAACCAACCUUUGUGUCUCACAUGAACCCCAAAGCAUGAUACUUGUCACCCCGUCAUUGCGUAUGCAUGUUCUUUAUUGACUUAAACCACUGGUCCUAUCCUUGAGGUCUACGGCUCCCUCAUUUGCCAUGAUAACUUUGAUUUCUGCUUGGAAGGUCUUGCUCGUCACUAGUUUAACACACUUUUGUCAAUCUUAUCACAGGAGAUACCUUUGAUCUGUUCACCCUAACCCUUCAUUUGUUGCAUUGUUCAUGAAUUUAUAUAUACCAAGCCUUUGUAUUUCACAUGGAUCCCAAAGCAUGUUGCUUUUUACCAACUCAGUGUGCUUGCUGUUCUUCCUGACUUAUGACACUUUGAUGUGCUAGCUAGAUCCCAUUUUGUGCAAUUGGAAAGUUGGUGGAUGAUUUUGAAGUCGUUUCUCACUUAUUCUGACCCAACAGGCUCAGGAAGAGAAAGUAAACAAAACAAAAAGAAACUGUGUAAAGGACAAAGGAAAUAGAUGAUUCCUAACAAGAAAACUAUAAAGUAAAAACCUAUUAGAUAUGAAUACCAACUCCAAUGACCAUGAUAUGCACUUGUGGCCUAUUCUAUCAAGCAAGUCCAAUGUUCAACUCCUAUUAUGCCACCCAAACCAUGAAACUAGGCUUCGAUGCUCCAUUAUUAGUCAUCUUUCACAAUCUCCGUCUGGUGAUUCCCAUCUAAUUCUCAAUCCUUAUUUGACUUGUAGUGCCCGAAGGGUUUUCACCAUCAAGCCUCUCUCAUUUUGUUCUUUCUCUCAACUUACAGUCGCCUCAAGAAGCCCGUAAAGGUUUUCACCAAUAAGACUCUCUCAUUUUUUAUUUCUUUCAGCUCCCGUCGCCCUACGAUGCCCGUGAGGGUUUUUACCAAUACGACCGUCUCAUUUUCAUUAUUUUCUUAUGUGUACCAGAGUGUUUCCCUUGACAUGAAUCACCUUUAUUUCUCGACUUCGCAUCUCUCGAAAACUGAUCAAAAGGUCUUUCUUUGGGCUGUCACGUGUGCUUUUGAUAAGGUUAGAAAGAAAGGGUAUUAACGGCUCAAAGAAAUUCAAAUGAGUUCAAAAUUACAACUUCGGGACCAGAUUUGUUACAACAACCACAACUUCAAUCCCAGUUUCUUGCUAGGGGACAUUUGAAUUUUAUUUUGAUGGGACCGAACUGUGAGGCUGCAUACGUAUCCUUAAAAUAAAUAAGGUCAAACGUAGUUCAUGACAUAGAAAUUACUUUUUUUUGUUGUGAUUUUUCUUUUCCUUUUCUUUUCCCUUCUUUCCUUCUUUUUGGUUUUUUUUCUCUUUUCUUUUUUUUUUUCUCUUUUCAUUCUUUUCAUUUUCUCUUCUUUUUUUCUUAUCUUUCACGCUUGUGUUUCUGAUUUUUUCUACUGAUUCCAAAAGAGGGGUAUGAAAAAAAUAAAUAAGGCUCAAAGGGGCAACGAAAGAUAAAGUGUUUAGAUAGCAGAACAAAAUGCCUUCAUCAUUCCAAUCUCCAAAACAUGCAAAGUAAAAACAACACAAUUAAACAAACCAAAGAAAACAUUUGUAACAUCUUUUGAUUGUACCAGACUUGAUAACCAUAUCCACACAUUCGCCUUCAACGUCUGGGGAAUACAAAGCCCCAUUGGAGAACACUCUCACUUUUCUUACCACGAACGACCUCUGUCAAAUUGGGAAAAUUUUCCUUUAGCUUCAAUAUGAUGCGGCAGGAUGCGUCUCAAUAGUAUUUCUUUAUGUUCUAUCUGCCCCAGUUUCAUAUAAUUCGCUCUUGAAGUGAUCUCAAUAUCUCUUUACUUAUUUCCCUCAAAUAUCCAUACCGUCUUCCAAAUUGCUUCAUAAUUAAACUAACUUUUUCAAGACCAGGCUGAGAAUUACGCGUGCAUGCCAUAUCACUAGAGUCAACAGGAAAAGGACUAUAAAAGAAAAGAGAACUAAACAAAAAUGACUAGAAAUAACAUAAGACAUAAAAUUGCAUUAGAUGGAAGAUGAAAGGGUUUGAACACCAAAACAAGCAAACUAAACUGGGGCUAUAACCCUAAAACAAACCUAGACAGCACUAAGCGAGUUACUACGACUAACAAACCAGGCAAAAAAAAAGAUAGAAGGAUAUGAGUCACAAGACAAUAUCCGGAUUACAACCCUGAAAUAACCCGGACAAUAGAAAUGAUAACAAAUAAGUCACAAAACUCGCUGGCUAGCCAAGGAAAAGCGUCUUUCCAAUAUUCAAACUCAACAUCUUAGCCACUAACUCCUGCACCAACAAUACUAGGACCUUCACAAGUCUCCAUCACAUUUUUCUUAACAAAUUGCCUUUGGGUUCCCUUUGCCUACUCGGUCUUAGGAUCAACCUCUGAUAGCGCUGAAAGCUUUGCAUCACGUGGACUUUUGAGGAUCUCAGAAGAAUUCUCAUAUUCCUUUUCAAAAUAAAUCAUACCCACCAUAUGCAUAGGCGAUGGACUUUAGCUAGUGUCUGCUGUGUCUGGAUUUUGCAUGACAAUGUUACCUGCAUCAAUAAGCUUCUGCAUUGCUUUCUUCAGAUUCCAACACUUCUAUAUGUCAUGCCCCGGGGCAACUGAGCAAUAUGCGCACCUUUGAGAAAAAUCAAACUUCUUUGAUAGAUGGUUCGACAUUUUUAUCUGAAUCGACUUCAACAUGUCCAGUUUCCUCAACCUUUGGAACAAAAUGGCAUAUGAUUCUCCAAUAGGGAUGACAGCCUUCUCUUUUUUCUGCAACCUCUCAUUCUUAAAUGCUUGAUUGUGCCGAAAACCUGAUCCAGGAGGGUUUCGGUAGGCUCGUGGAGGCGAGUAAGACAUUUGUGGACGUGGUGCGGGCCAUUGAGGGCCUUGUGGGUGUGGAGCAUAUGGUGUUGCAUUGUGGAUAGGGUACCGGGAAAGCGAUGUACGACUUUGGGGUUUCUUUGGAGAACUAGCAUCGGGGAGGGUCAUCUAGUGCACAAGGAUAUUCAUUGGGCCGAUCUCGAGGCUGAAAGUGUUGAGCACGAAUGCCCAGCGGAUAAUCUAUUCUAUUUCUUUUUCUUCCACCCAAACUUACUGGUGACAUUCUAAAUGUCUUUUGAAGUAUCUUUUAAUGCCGAAUAACUCAUGAUUUUGCCUGACUUGAUUCCCUAUUCUACCAGCUCCCCCAUUUUUAACACUUCAUUGAAAGGCUUUACCAAGGCCGGGACCAAAUGACUAAAAUAGGUGGGCCCUUGGGCUUGUAGGAAAAGCUCAACCAUUUCUUCUUCACCAAUCGGGGUGCUGACUCGAGUAGCUUGCUCCCUCCAUUUAGCCCAAAAUCCCUAAAGCUUUCCUCUUGCUUCUUUUCCAUAGGGAUGAGCGGUCUCGAGUAACGCUUGAUUUUUAUUGAAAGUAUCAAACAAAAUCUUGGGCCAUGUCACCCACUGUAGGCCACUUACCAGUAUCUUGACGAUUACGCCAUUCGAAAGCUGCCUCAGUCAAGCUCAUACGGAAAUAGGCCAUCAACAGGUUAUCUUGCUCUCCAAAACUUCUCAUUUCAUUGCAAUAAACCCUCAAGUGCACUUCUGGAUCUCCACACCCAUCAUACAAGUUAAAUUUGGGCACUUGAAACUCCGAUGGCAGGCGAACGUCAGGGGACACAUACAGUUCUUUGUAAGCCAUGCUACCCUGGUCUUCUAUUCCUUGCUUGUUCUUUAAACACUGAUUUAUUCCUUUCAGUCUCCUGGGUAUCCCAUCUCGCCCUUCUCUUCUUGUGAACUUUUUAUUUUCUACAUGAGGCUCAUCCUGCAGACCUUACUUGUGUGAGUUGGGAACCUUGUGGACAACAUCUGAGGGGUAAUAUUAGGCAUCAUGAGCUUUGAGUGGGUGUUCAUUGUCGGGGAUAGUGGAUAUGACAAGAGAGCAAUUUUGGGGAAAGAUUAUUGGAGGACGAGUAAUAGAGCUACUAGGGUGGUUGGGAAAGUUUUGAUAAGCAGGAAAAUCUGGAGAGUAUGCGGAAUCAUCUGGCACUAUGACUGGAGUUUGGGUAAAGGUAGCAUUUAAGAAGCUAGGGGGCAGGGAUAGUGCCUUCCCAGUCAUCUAGGCCUGAUACAUGUCCGCAAUGUAUUGUCUUAACAUCCUUACCUCUUCAACCAACCCAUUUUCCCAUUCAACUAAUUGCUUUUGGGCACCCGUAUCAACCAACUCAGUUCUAUUGUCAUUUGCCACUGCCUUUCAACUUUAUGUUGUAGAGAAAAGUUACCACUUUAAAAACCACAAACCAACCACUCUUCUUUGUUUUAUAACAAAAGGAACAAAAUGAGGUCAUCACGUUAGCCUUAGGUCAUUUAACAACUAAAAUGUCGCAUCGCGUGCAAUACACCCAGUUAUAGUUAUCGGUUCCAACAUGACUUCGAGGGAAUGAGGUAAUAUGACAUCAUCCCAAUUUAUUCUUUUCGAUCUUCUCUUUUCUUUCCCUUUCUAACACUGGCUUGCUCAUUUUCCUUCCUCUUUUUUCUUCUGAUUAUCGCUCGUUUCUUUCCUCUCAUUUCUCACAUCCCAUACUUUUAUCUUUCUUUUUUUCUUUUUUUUUCUAUCUUUCUUUGUGCUCUUUUUUUUAAUAAAACAAAAAAAUGAUUCGAACAAACCCUAUAUGGGUUGCCUAUGUAUCAUGACACCGCAAGAAUCGGAUCUUUGCGCAGUUCUGAAAGAUCAUGAAUAAAGUAAACAAACUAACAUUCUCAUUUUUCUUUUCUUUUUUUUAUUACCUUAAUGACUACUCUGAGGAGAAAAGAGAAAUAAAAGAAGAAUUUUUUUUUUGAAUUUUCUAGAUUAAUGUUCUAUAACAUAUUCCAAACUCAAGCUUAACAAGCAUAUAUUUUUUUGGCUCUCUUUUUUUUUAUAUGAAACAAAUACUCUAUAGGAAAUUAUUAAGGAAAAACCCUAGAAGAGAAAAAAUAUUUUUUGAAUAUUUUUUUUUUCAGGAAGAAAAUCUAAAGAAUAAACCAUAGAAAAAUAUUUUGAAUUUUCAUUUGAUAUCUUGAUGCCAGAUUCCGAAAAAGCAAUGAAAAAGAUAAAAUAAAAUAUUUCUGGAUUUUCAUUUGAUUGCCUAAGGGAGAAACCCUAAAGAUAAACCAAAGAUAAAGUAUAUUUCUUUUUCCUGUAUGUACAAUGUCCUAAAGUUCUAGUAAAAAGAUUUUUUUUCAUUUUCAUUGAUUUCCCAAAGAAAACCUCCAAAGAUUUUUUUUUUUAAUUUUUGGAAUUAAUAUCUUAAAGAAAACAUUUAAGGGGUACUAAAAAAAGAUCUCCUUUUUAUUGAAUUUUUGUUCUUAAUGUACUAAAAGGAAAUAGAGAAGUAAUUUUUAUUUUGAGUUCUAACUAUUAAUUCCUAAAAUAAAAAACCACCUCAAAUGAUUUCUUUUCAAUUUCCAGGAGUAUUAUUUCUAAAGAUAAUUCUAAAGGAAAUAUAAACGCAAACUAUCUUUCUUUUUUAAUUUCGAUUUAUAAUACACUUUCUCAAAUGCAAAAUAGAAAAUACAAUAGUAAUAAAAAAAACUCGACAUUACUACACAAAACUAGAAUGUAAAGACAACAUACAAAAAUAAAAAAAAUAAAAAUCUCCUGGAGCAACUUCUGAAUGCAGCGGCCCUGAGGUAUCUGUUAUGCUCAAACUCCGGUAAGCAGAUCCACACCUGUAUGCGAAAACUUAAACUAACAAUAUGUGAGAAAAUAACAUACCCUAUUAGAUACAUGCAAGACAUGGUUGCGAUUAUUUUUUGCAAAAUAACUUAUUUAGCCAAAAGGUGGCUAGAAGUGCAAAAUUUAGCUAAGACCUGCAAAGCAAAGAGUAUGUGGGUUGCCUACAUAUCAGGCCUCGAAAGACGAGAAUCAGGUAUACGUAGUUCGGGCAAAUUGGAUACGGGAAAAAAAUUAAAAAAAUAGCUAAUUUUUUAGAGAAAAUAUUUUCUUUUGUCUUUUUUUUUGAAAAAUGAUGAAACGCGUAAACUCUUUUUGGAUUUUCUUUUCCUUUUUUUUUUAUUUACGGAAAAUCAUGAAAAAGUACAAAAUCUUUUCUUUUUUUUUUUGAAUUUUUUCUUCUUUUUUUAAUAAGAAUGUAACAAAAACAUAACUAGAUCCUACUUGCUUCAUUUUCACACUUCACCCUCUCUUUUUCUUUUUUUUUUCAUUCUUUUUUUAUUUUUUUCAUUUACCCUCAGCUAUCAUUGGUCCGCCAAAUGGCCCUUUCACCCUUGAAUAAAUGCAACAUGUAGCACGCAAGAUGCAUAAAGUACACCUGUCCUAGACGGACCCAACCCCUGUGUUGAGUCCUCUAAGUUAAAUAUACAUGAUGCAAACAAAUGCUCCUACUAGGGAUCCGGCAUGAGGCUGAGUUAUUCUAGGGUCAAAACCUGGGCAUGUGUUCUAGACUAUGUACCGGGAACCAAAAGGCCAUCCGACUUAGUAACUUGUUCGAGCCUCUUUCUUAUUUCAAGGUAUGGCACUAACAAAAUAGGGAGUAUCGACCAACGAGCACAUCCCCAAAGAUGAGAAGAGAAGGGUUUCGUGGCAGUUUAUAUACAAUUCAAAUAAUAUCAAAGCGGUAAAAGCAUCAUUUAGCACAUUAGGCCCAAACAUGUAACAAAUAUAAGAUAAUAGAUAAAGCCAAAUAUAACAAUUCAUUUAAGCUCGAAUUCUGAACCUUAAACUAGAGAUUCUGGGUUCUUGUCCCCAGCAGAGUAGCUAGAGCUGUGACAUAUUCUUUUUACACUACAUCCCAAGACGGGCGUAGUUAAGGGAGUUUUUCCAACUAAAGGACAAUCAGAAUGAGAUUUAUUUAUAUUAAAAGAUUCAGAGUCGCCACUUGGGAGAUUUAUAGUGUCCCAAGUACAGGUUCAAAUCCCGAAUCGAGGAAAGGGUGGACUCUUACGGUCCGCGAAUCAGAAAUUCGAGUAAGGGAUUCUGUUAACCCGGGAGAAGGUGUUAGGCAUUCCCGGAUUCCGUGGUCCUAGCAUGAUCGCUCAACGGUAAUAAUAUUGGCCUAAUUAUCUGAUUUUAAACACUUUUAAACCUAUGUGAAUUUUUAGCUUUAACCGCUUUCAAUUAAUUGUAAGGAAAAGUUCAACGUCACAUAAAACGCGUUUUGAACCGCAUCACAUAAAUGCACCCGCAAUCCGCCACACAUUUUAUAUAACAUUGUCAGGAUUUAGAUUUGGGUCACAUAAAUGCGCACCCGAAUUUAGGGAGGUAAAAUUUUAAACUAAAACGCGUAAAGUAAUUUCGCGUUCGCAACUUUGCUAGGGCAAUGAAAAUUUCACUAAGUGAAACACCUCGAAUUCUAAGAAUUAAAUAAAAUUAAAUAAGGGCCGUGCAUUUUUUGAUUUUGUUUGGCACGACACACUUUAAUUUCUUUCAAAAGGAUUGCAUUCAGUUACACGAACUACAAAUAUUCAUCUGUUUCCCUAAGUUUCGGAUUUGCUGUGAAGCAACGAAUUAUGGAUAACGAAUUAGCUAAAGGUGAUCACUUAAAGGAAUUGAUAAAUCAUGAAAAAGUGAUGGAAAUUACUUAAAAUCACUGCCAACUAGCGUUGUUUGAACCAAAAGAAUAAGGGAAAAUGACAAAGGCAGACUUGAAUCAAAGCUAAAUGAAAAGAAGAACCGGUAGUAUAUUAAUGGAGAUUUAAAAGUUAAUUGGAAAGGAGAGGGAAAUUCAUACUACCAGAUGCAUUACUCAUGGGUGCGAACAAAUGAAUUAUGACUGGAAAUUCAACGAAAGUCACCAAAGCUAUAGCAAUUAUCCAACAAAACAUUAAUUUGAAACUAGCUUAGAACAAAGAUCAGAAAAUUCUCGCAAUAGUCAGGAUUUAAGCACUCUAAAAACAAGUGAAACCAGAACCAUUAUUACAGUGCAUCAUGUUUUAUUAUCGAGCCAUCAGCAGAACAUUAAUCCUCAAAAACAAACAAGAGAAAAACCAACAUCAUGUUUCGAUUCACAACACAUGAAAGUAUCGACUCAAAUAAUAGAGAAAAAGAAAAAAAAGGAAGCUAAACUGUUUUACAAUAUAUUCAAAUUUCACAGUUGCUACACGGAUAAGCUAUGAACCAACCCGAAAUGCUAGUCAAACUGGAUUCAAAAUCACGAACCGCAACUCCGAACCUCGACAUAAACUCGAAUAGAACCUUAGUACAUCAAUCGAACUCAAUUUUCAUAAUGAAAACUCAAAAAACAGUAGCUCUAAUUUCCAUCUCACUCACAAAGUCAGGUAGGUGAGGGAAACGCCUGAAGGUUCAAAGAAUUGACUGGUUUUUAGGUGUUUUCAUGGUGAUGAAGAAUGAAGUAGAAGAAGCAGCGCAUGGGGUCCGUUCCCUUGGUGUUCUGCGGCUGUCAGCUUUUCUCAUGCCCUAGGGGUCUCCAUUGCCAAUGCUUCGGAUCUUCUUGUGAAGAAGAAGAGAGAAUGCUGGGGGUGGGGUACCAAUUUUGUGAAAGCUGCACUUAUCAGCUCUUAGAUCUAAGGUCU
rnacentral:lncRNA from 1 species